rnacentral:rRNA from 1 species
UACGAAGGGGGCUAGCGUUGUUCGGAAUUACUGGGCGUAAAGCGCACGUAGGCGGAUAUUUAAGUCAGGGGUGAAAUCCCGGGGCUCAACCCCGGAACUGCCUUUGAUACUGGGGUAUCUCCGAGUCCGAGAGAGGUGAGUGGAAUUCCGAGUGUAGAGGUGAAAUCGUAGAUAUCGGAGGAACACCAGUGGCGAAGGGCGGCCUCACCUGGCUCGGUACUGACGCUGAGGUGGCGAAAGCGUGGGGAGCAAACAGG